AUGGCUCAGGAUGAACGCUAGCUACAGGCUUAACACAUGCAAGUCGAGGGGCAGCAUUGAGAUAGCUUGCUAUUCAGAUGGCGACCGGCGCACGGGUGAGUAACGCGUAUCCAACCUUCCCUAUAGUAGAGAAUAGCCCGGCGAAAGUCGGAUUAAUGCUCUAUGUUUUUCCAAUGCGGACAUCUAAAAUGGAAUAAAGGUUUACCGCUAUAGGAUGGGGAUGCGUCUGAUUAGGUUGUUGGCGGGGUAACGGCCCACCAAGCCAUCGAUCAGUAGGGGUUCUGAGAGGAAGGUCCCCCACAUUGGAACUGAGACACGGUCCAAACUCCUACGGGAGGCAGCAGUGAGGAAUAUUGGUCAAUGGGCGAGAGCCUGAACCAGCCCAAGUAGCGUGCAGGAUGACGGCCCUAUGGGUUGUAAACUGCUUUUAUACGGGGAUAAAGUGAGGGACGUGUCCCUUUUUGUAGGUACCGUAUGAAUAAGGACCGGCUAAUUCCGUGCCAGCCGCCGC
rnacentral:rRNA from 1 species